rnacentral:lncRNA from 1 species
CUGCUAGCAUGUCCUUGCCUCUCUACCACUUCCCCAUUUCCUAUACCGAUAUGUGUAUCUAUGUGUAUUAUUUCCCUUCCAUUUUCCCCUUUUGGAACUCUGCACUUGCACUCUUUCUCUUAGUUCCUAAGUUCUGCCCUCCUCUUAUAAGUCUUGCCUUGGGACCUUGAGUUCCAGCUGCACUUGGACACCUUAGAGCUUACGCUUUGACACUGCACUAUGGCUUAUUAUGGUAAUACAUUUGGAGUGUAAGCACUGCGUGGAGUUCUUAUGAAACUCUUAGAGAACUUUGAAACACCCAGAUGAGAGGAAGGCUUUGAAACAUGAUCUUUGGAGUUGGUUUACUUUAUAAAUCAGACAAGAAGUCUGAAUCAGGCCCUCCUUGGUUGUAACUUUCAAUUUCUAAUGUAUCUUCUCUUCUUUGGACUGUAAUAAAUUGUAAUAAAACUUUUGGGAUGGCUAGUGAAAAGGGAGAGGUAACUAUGCUUGUACAGG